CCUACGGGUGGCAGCAGUGAGGAAUAUUGGUCAAUGGACGAGAGUCUGAACCAGCCAAGUAGCGUGAAGGAUGACUGCCCUAUGGGUUGUCAACUUCUUUUAUCAAGGAAUAAAACGAGGCACGUGUGCCUUUUUGCAUGUACUUUAUGAAUAAGGAUCGGCUAACUCCGUGCCAGCAGCCGCGGUAAUACGGAGGAUCCGAGCGUUAUCCGGAUUUCUUGGGUUUAAAGGGAGCGUAGAUGGGUUGUUAAGUCAGUUGUGAAAGUUUGCGUCUCAACCGUAAAAUUGCAAUUGAAACUGUUUGUCUUGAGUACCGGAGAGGUAAUCGGAAUGCGUUGUGUAGCGGUGAAAUGCGUAGAUAUAAGGAAGAACACCAGUGGCGAAGGCGGAUGACUGGACGGCAACUGACGCUGAUGCACGAAAGCGUGGGUAUCAAACAGGAUUAGAUACCCUAGUAGUC
rnacentral:rRNA from 1 species